GACGAACGCUGGCGGCGUGCCUAAUACAUGCAAGUAGAACGCUGAAGGAGGAGCUUGCUUCUCUGGAUGAGUUGCGAACGGGUGAGUAACGCGUAGGUAACCAGCCUGGUAGCGGGGGAUAACUAUUGGAAACGAUAGCUAAUACCGCAUAACAGUAGAUAUCGCAUGAUAUCUACUUGAAAGGUGCAAUUGCAUCACUACCAGAUGGACCUGCGUUGUAUUAGCUAGUUGGUGAGGUAACGGCUCACCAAGGCGACGAUACAUAGCCGACCUGAGAGGGUGAUCGGCCACACUGGGACUGAGACACGGCCCAGACUCCUACGGGAGGCAGCAGUAGGGAAUCUUCGGCAAUGGACGGAAGUCUGACCGAGCAACGCCGCGUGAGUGAAGAAGGUUUUCGGAUCGUAAAGCUCUGUUGUAAGAGAAGAACGAGUGUGAGAGUGGAAAGUUCACACUGUGACGGUAUCUUACCAGAAAGGGACGGCUAACUACGUG
rnacentral:rRNA from 1 species